rnacentral:rRNA from 1 species
GACGUAGGGCGCGAGCGUUGUCCGGAUUUAUUGGGCGUAAAGAGCUCGUAGGCGGCUUGUCGCGUCGAAUGUGAAAACCCACGGCUCAACUGUGUGCUUGCAUUCGAUACGGGCAGGCUAGAGUUCGGUAGGGGAGACUGGAAUUCCUGGUGUAGCGGUGAAAUGCGCAGAUAUCAGGAGGAACACCGGUGGCGAAGGCGGGUCUCUGGGCCGAUACUGACGCUGAGGAGCGAAAGCGUGGGGAGCGAACAGG